GUGGGCUACGGAGAUAUGGCACCCAAAACGUACGUGGGAAUGUUUGUCGGAGCCCUUUGCGCUUUGGCUGGCGUGUUGACCAUCGCCCUGCCGGUCCCUGUCAUCGUCUCCAAU
rfam:Daphnia pulex DAPPTscaffold_11_Cont744, whole genome shotgun sequence.